CUUACCCAGGUAGGGAGCCUAUGGAGGUGGGAGACUUACCCAGGUAGGGAGCCUAUGGAGGUGGGAGACUUACCCAGGUAGGGAGCCUAUGGAGGUGGGAGACUUACCCAGGUAGGGAGCCUAUGGAGGUGGGAGACUUACCCAGGUAGGGAGCCUAUGGAGG